GAGGAGUUGGCGCAGGACGCGGUCCUCCGGACGAUGACGGGGAAGCGGACCUGGAACCCGGCCAAGGUUCCGGACCUCGACUAUUUCC
rnacentral:tRNA from 1 species